CCUACGGGAGGCAGCAGUAGGGAAUCUUUCACAAUGGGCGAAAGCCUGAUGGAGCAACGCCGCGUGCAGGAUGAAGGCCUUCGGGUUGUAAACUGCUUUUAUAAGCGAGAAAUAUGAUGGUAACUUAUGAAUAAGGAUCGGCUAACUACGUGCCAGCAGCCGCGGUCAUACGUAGGAUCCGAGCAUUAUCCGGAGUGACUGGGUGUAAAGAGUUGCGUAGGUGGCAUAAUAAGUAGCUAGUGAAAUCUGGUGGCUCAACCAUUCAGACUAUUAGCUAAACUGUUAAGCUCGAGACCGUUAGGGGUAACUGGAAUUUCUAGUGUAGGAGUGAAAUCCGGAGUUAUUAGAAGGAACACCAAUAGCGUAGGCAGGUUGCUGGGACGGUUCUGACACUAAGGCACGAAAGCGUAGGGAGCAAACGGGAUUAGAUACCCCAGUAGUC
rnacentral:rRNA from 1 species